rnacentral:rRNA from 1 species
AAACAUGUCUUUAUGAUAAUAAUUUAAAGUYUAAUCUGCUCAAUGAUUAAUUAAUAAUUAAAUAGCUGCGGUAAAUUGACCGUACAAAGGUAGCAUAAUCAAUAGUUUUUUAAUUGAAAGCUGGAAUGAAAGAUUUGAUGAAAUAAAUUUUGUCUCAAAUUUUAUAAAAUUAGAAUUUUUUUUUUAGUAAAAAUACUAAAAUUAUUUUAAAAGACGAGAAGACCCUAUAGAUUUUAAUAAUUUUAUUUAUUAAAAAAAAAUUGGUAAUUAAAAUUAUUUGGUUGGGGAAAUUAUUAAAUUUAAUUAAUUUUAAUUAAUUAAUACAAUAAUAAUUGAAUUUAUGAUCUUAAAAUUUUGGAUAAAUAGAAUAAAAUACCUUAGGGAUAACAGCGUAAUUUUUUUGGAUAGGUCUUAUUAAUAAAAAAGUUUGCGACCUCGAUGUUGAAUUAAGAUAAAAUUUUAAUGAARAAGUUAUAAAUUUUUAGUCUGUUCGACUAUUAAAAUCUUACGUGAUCUG